GCCACGCCUGUUCGCAAGUACCGUCUGAGGACACGUGGAGCCCGUAACGCCCAUCAUUGGAGCAACAAUGCUGGACCGAGUUCUGAAGAUUCUCGUCAAAAUCCAGAGGGAUUGUAAAUUGAAACUUCCUAAAUGAGGUUUCAUUUUCAGGGGACUCGGCUUGGCUUGAAGGGACGAGACAUAAGAAAAAGAACUGGUAGGACAUUCUGAACCUCUCGAAGAUCCAAUUUGACUUUCUGGAACCAAAAUUAAAUGGUUAUUGACUUCAAAUUGUUGGAGAACUGCUUUCAGGUUUUCCUUGUUGAUUUGCUGCUGCCACACAAUAUUUGGUUAAUUGCGGAUGGUCUCAAGCUGUGCUCAUCGCUGCCGCGGCCGCCGGAGCCCCAGCCCGCUGCCACAGGACGGUUGGCACGCUCAGGAGCAGGCUCUCAGCGCCACGAGGACAGGAGCGUCCCAGAGUCCCGGACGGAUGGGCAGCUGGACGCCAGGCAAGGGAGGUCCCCGUCUGUGCAUGUAUCUGUACAUUUAUCCGUGGACUGGGCACCACGCGUGGAUGUAUCUGUGCACCUACUCCUGUACCAGAUCCUCGUCUACGUGCAUGACCAUGUCUAGUGGUGCUGGAAACUUUGGUCGCAGGAGUGUGUUUCUCAAGCAUUUCCUGGUACGUGUGUUCUUCCGGUCAUUCUUGUUGUCCAGUGGCAUUCAUCACCUCAGGGGCAGGGCUGGGCCUCUGAUGAAGGGAGGGAGGUGCCUGGGGCCCACAGUUCAAGGAGGACUCCCUCCCAGGGUCCAGCAAGUACAGUGUGAGCUCCUGGGUGACCCCGAGCGUAGCCCCUCCCUAAACUCCACCAGUGCCUCAGUUUCUCACCCUUGCCUGGGUGAAUCUCAGUGA
rnacentral:lncRNA from 1 species